CCGGCGAUGUCCGAAUGGGGAAACCCAGUGCAAUUCGUUGCACUAUCGUUAACUGAAUACAUAAGUUAACGAGGCGAACCGGGGGAACUGAAACAUCUAAGUACCCCGAGGAAAAGAAAUCAACCGAGAUUCCCCCAGUAGCGGCGAGCGAACGGGGAGCAGCCCAGAGUCUGAAUCAGCUUGUGUGUUAGUGGAACGGUCUGGAAAGUCCGACGGUACAGGGUGAUAGUCCCGUACACCAAAAUGCACAGGCUGUGAACUCGAAGAGUAGGGCGGGACACGUGGUAUCCUGUCUGAAUAUGGGGGGACCAUCCUCCAAGGCUAAAUACUCCUGACUGACCGAUAGUGAACCAGUACCGUGAGGGAAAGGCGAAAAGAACCCCGGCGAGGGGAGUGAAAAAGAACCUGAAACCGUGUACGUACAAGCAGUGGGAGCACCUUCGGGUGUGACUGCGUACCUUUUGUAUAAUGGGUCAGCGACUUAUAUUCUGUAGCAAGGUUAACCGUAUAGGGGAGCCGCAGGGAAACCGAGUCUUAACUGGGCGUUAAGUUGCAGGGUAUAGACCCGAAACCCGGUGAUCUAGCCAUGGGCAGGUUGAAGGUUGGGUAACACUAACUGGAGGACCGAACCGACUAAUGUUGAAAAAUUAGCGGAUGACUUGUGGCUGGGGGUGAAAGGCCAAUCAAACCGGGAGAUAGCUGGUUCUCCCCGAAAGCUAUUUAGGUAGCGCCUCGUGAACUCAUCUUCGGGGGUAGAGCACUGUUUCGGCUAGGGGGUCAUCCCGACUUACCAACCCGAUGCAAACUACGAAUACCGAAGAAUGUUAUCACGGGAGACACACGGCGGGUGCUAACGUCCGUCGUGAAGAGGGAAACAACCCAGACCGCCAGCUAAGGUCCCAAAGUCAUGGUUAAGUGGGAAACGAUGUGGGAAGGCACAGACAGCCAGGAUGUUGGCUUAGAAGCAGCCAUCAUUUAAAGAAAGCGUAAUAGCUCACUGGUCGAGUCGGCCUGCGCGGAAGAUGUAACGGGGCUAAACCAUGCACCGAAGCUGCGGCAGCGACACUAUGUGUUGUUGGGUAGGGGAGCGUUCUGUAAGCCUGCGAAGGUGUGCUGUGAGGCAUGCUGGAGGUAUCAGAAGUGCGAAUGCUGACAUAAGUAACGAUAAAGCGGGUGAAAAGCCCGCUCGCCGGAAGACCAAGGGUUCCUGUCCAACGUUAAUCGGGGCAGGGUGAGUCGACCCCUAAGGCGAGGCCGAAAGGCGUAGUCGAUGGGAAACAGGUUAAUAUUCCUGUACUUGGUGUUACUGCGAAGGGGGGACGGAGAAGGCUAUGUUAGCCGGGCGACGGUUGUCCCGGUUUAAGCAUGUAGGCUGGUUGUCCAGGCAAAUCCGGAUAAUCAAGGCUGAGGUGUGAUGACGAGGCACUACGGUGCUGAAGUAACAAAUGCCCUGCUUCCAGGAAAAGCCUCUAAGCAUCAGGUAACAUUAAAUCGUACCCCAAACCGACACAGGUGGUCAGGUAGAGAAUACCAAGGCGCUUGAGAGAACUCGGGUGAAGGAACUAGGCAAAAUGGUGCCGUAACUUCGGGAGAAGGCACGCUGGUGUGUAGGUGAAGUCCCUGCGGAUGGAGCUGAGACCAGUCGAAGAUACCAGCUGGCUGCAACUGUUUAUUAAAAACACAGCACUGUGCAAACACGAAAGUGGACGUAUACGGUGUGACGCCUGCCCGGUGCCGGAAGGUUAAUUGAUGGGGUUAUCCGUAAGGAGAAGCUCUUGAUCGAAGCCCCGGUAAACGGCGGCCGUAACUAUAACGGUCCUAAGGUAGCGAAAUUCCUUGUCGGGUAAGUUCCGACCUGCACGAAUGGCGUAAUGAUGGCCAGGCUGUCUCCACCCGAGACUCAGUGAAAUUGAACUCGCUGUGAAGAUGCAGUGUACCCGCGGCAAGACGGAAAGACCCCGUGAACCUUUACUAUAGCUUGACACUGAACAUUGAGCCUUGAUGUGUAGGAUAGGUGGGAGGCUUUGAAGCGUGGACGCCAGUCUGCGUGGAGCCAACCUUGAAAUACCACCCUUUAAUGUUUGAUGUUCUAACGUUGGCCCCUGACCGGGGUUGCGGACAGUGUCUGGUGGGUAGUUUGACUGGGGCGGUCUCCUCCCAAAGCGUAACGGAGGAGCACGAAGGUUAGCUAAUCCUGGUCGGACAUCAGGAGGUUAGUGCAAUGGCAUAAGCUAGCUUGACUGCGAGCGUGACGGCGCGAGCAGGUGCGAAAGCAGGUCAUAGUGAUCCGGUGGUUCUGAAUGGAAGGGCCAUCGCUCAACGGAUAAAAGGUACUCCGGGGAUAACAGGCUGAUACCGCCCAAGAGUUCAUAUCGACGGCGGUGUUUGGCACCUCGAUGUCGGCUCAUCACAUCCUGGGGCUGAAGUAGGUCCCAAGGGUAUGGCUGUUCGCCAUUUAAAGUGGUACGCGAGCUGGGUUUAGAACGUCGUGAGACAGUUCGGUCCCUAUCUGCCGUGGGCGCUGGAGAAUUGAGGGGGGCUGCUCCUAGUACGAGAGGACCGGAGUGGACGCAUCACUGGUGUUCGGGUUGUCAUGCCAAUGGCACUGCCCGGUAGCUAAAUGCGGAAGAGAUAAGUGCUGAAAGCAUCUAAGCACGAAACUUGCCCCGAGAUGAGUUCUCCCUGAGACUUUAAGUCUCCUGAAGGAACGUUGAAGACGACGACGUUGAUAGGCCGGGUGUGUAAGCGCAGCGAUGCGUUGAGCUAACCGGUACUAAUGAACCGUGAGGCUUAACCUU
rnacentral:rRNA from 1 species